AAUAUACGCCCUUUGACCACUAUUACUUGUCCUAAUAUGAAUGUAUUCGGACAAAUUUUAGUGUCUAGAUACAUAUUAACAUAGGUAACAGUGGUCGGAGGGAGUACUUC
rnacentral:miRNA from 1 species